GAUUAACGCUAGCGGCAGGCCUAACACAUGCAAGUCGAGGGGCAGCAUAAGUUUGAUUUUGGUAAAUUUGAUGGCGACCGGCGGACGGGUGCGUAACGCGUAUGCAACCUACCUGUAACAGGGGGAUAAUCCGGAGAAAUUCGGUGUAAUACCCCAUAACACUUUCGGAGGCAUCUUUGGGAGUUAAAAGAUUUAUUGGUUACAGCUGGGCAUGCGUGACAUUAGUUAGAUGGUAAGGUAACGGCUUACCAUGACUACGAUGUCUAGGGGAACUGAGAGGUUUAUCCCCCACACUGGUACUGAGACACGGACCAGACUCCUACGGGAGGCAGCAGUGAGGAAUAUUGGUCAAUGGAAGGAAUUCUGAACCAGCCAUGCCGCGUGCAGGAUUACAGCUCUAUGAGUUUUAAACUGCUUUUGUAAGAGGGUAAAGUACAGUACGUGUAUUGUUUUGAAAGUAUCUUACGAAUAAGGAUCGGCUAACUCCGUGCCAGCAGCCGCGGUAAUACGGAGGAUCCGAGCGUUAUCCGGAUUUAUUGGGUUUAAAGGGUGCGUAGGUUGUAAUGUAAGUUAGCGGUGAAAUACCAUAGCUCAACUAUGGGGCCGCCGCUAAAACUGUGUUACUAGAGAUUGGAUGCAGUAGGCGGAAUGUGUAGUGUAGCGGUGAAAUGCAUAGAUAUUACACAGAACACCGAUUGCGAAGGCAGCUUACUAAUCCAUAUCUGACACUGAAGCACGAAAGCGUGGGGAUCAAACAGGAUUAGAUACCCUGGUAGUCCACGCAGUAAACGAUGAUAACUCGUUGUUGGCGAUAUACAGUCAGUAACCAAGCGAAGGCGAUUAGUUAUCCGCCUGGGGGAGUACGUUCGCAAGAAUGAACUCAAAGGAAUUGACGGGGGCCCGCACAACCGAAGAACUUGUGGUUUUAUUC
rnacentral:rRNA from 1 species